rnacentral:lncRNA from 1 species
AAAUACCUGGAUUUAAUUACCUUUUUUUUUUAAUCCUACAAAUUACUGAGAAUGUUACUCUACGAUUCUUAGUUUUUAUCUGAAGAAUGGAGACUGCACUCCUAAUGUUAUUAUGUGGAUUCAAGGAUGGAAUAAAAGUUAAAGCAACUAGCAUAAAAAAUGUCAGUGAAACAGAGAGUGAACACUUCCAGCCACAUCCACCCACCCAUCGUCUGGAGAAAUAUGCAAGAGGCCAUGCUAGCUGCCGGUACUGUGUGAAUAUGUUUACUUUCUUGAUGAGAGGAACUGAGAAGUGAAUUUACGAGCACUCACAGAAAACCUGAGGACACAAAGGGAAUACACAGGACAUCAUUUCAUGGGUUUGAGGGACAAUGUAAACUAUAAGGUGAUUAUGAAACUUGUUUC